AGCGAACGCUGGCGGCAGGCCUAACACAUGCAAGUCGAGCGCCGUAGCAAUACGGAGCGGCAGACGGGAGAGUAACACGUGGGAACGUGCCCUUCAGUUCGGAACAACCCAGGGAAACUUGGGCUAAUACCGGAUACGCCCUUACGGGGAAAGAUUUAUCGCUGAAGGAUCGGCCCGCGUCUGAUUAGCUUGUUGGUGAGGUAACGGCUCACCAAGGCUACGAUCAGUAGCUGGUCUGAGAGGAUGAUCAGCCUCACUGGGACUGAGACACGGCCCAGACUCCUACGGGAGGCAGCAGUGGGGAAUAUUGGACAAUGGGCGCAAGCCUGAUCCAGCCAUGCCGCGUGAGUGAUGAAGGCCAUAGGGUUGUAAAGCUCUUUCGGCGGGGAAGAUAAUGACGGUACCCGCAGAAGAGGCCCCGGCUAACUUCGUGCCAGCAGCCGCCGCGGUAA
rnacentral:rRNA from 1 species